rnacentral:rRNA from 1 species
UGCCAUCAGAUGUGCCCAGAUGGGAUUAGCUUGUUGGUGGGGUAACGGCUCACCAAGGCGACGAUCCCUAGCUGGUCUGAGAGGAUGACCAGCCACACUGGAACUGAGACACGGUCCAGACUCCUACGGGAGGCAGCAGUGGGGAAUAUUGCACAAUGGGCGCAAGCCUGAUGCAGCCAUGCCGCGUGUAUGAAGAAGGCCUUCGGGUUGUAAAGUACUUUCAGCGGGGAGAAGGGGGAAUGGUUAAUAACCAUUGUCAUUGACGUUACCCGCAGAAGAAGCACCGGCUAACUCCGUGCCAGCAGCCGCGGUAAUACGGAGGGUGCAAGCGUUAAUCGGAAUUACUGGGCGUAAAGCGCACGCAGGCGGUCUGUCAAGUCGGAUGUGAAAUCCCCGGGCUCAACCUGGGAACUGCAUCCGAAACUGGCAGGCUUGAGUCUCGUAGAGGGGGGUAGAAUUCCAGGUGUAGCGGUGAAAUGCGUAGAGAUCUGGAGGAAUACCGGUGGCGAAGGCGGCCCCCUGGACGAAGACUGACGCUCAGGUGCGAAAGCGUGGGGAGCAAACAGGAUUAGAUACCCUGGUAGUCCACGCCGUAAACGAUGUCGACUUGGAGGUUGUGCCCUUGAGGCGUGGCUUCCGGAGCUAACGCGUUAAGUCGACCGCCUGGGGAGUACGGCCGCAAGGUUAAAACUCAAAUGAAUUGACGGGGGCCCGCACAAGCGGUGGAGCAUGUGGUUUAAUUCGAUGCAACGCGAAGAACCUUACCUGGUCUUGACAUCCACAGAAGAAUUCAGAGAUGAAUUUGUGCCUUCGGGAACUGUGAGACAGGUGCUGCAUGGCUGUCGUCAGCUCGUGUUGUGAAAUGUUGGGUUAAGUCCCGCAACGAGCGCAACCCUUAUCCUUUGUUGCCAGCGGUCCGGCCGGGAACUCAAAGGAGACUGCCAGUGAUAAACUGGAGGAAGGUGGGGAUGACGUCAAGUCAUCA